rnacentral:lncRNA from 1 species
UUUUCCCCAAAUUCCCCAUCAUUCUCAAAACCUAAACUUUUAGCAAAUCAUAGUAUCUCUCACUGUUUUCAAACUUCCCUACCACUUCGACUCAGAGAUUAGAUCUCCACCAUGAUGAUGAACACAAUCAUCAUGACAUUGGUCACCAUUUGCGGGGAAAGGUGGGAAGAUAUACUAUUGCCAUGAUGGAUUGACACAGAUUCAUUUACUCGCGGUGGUUCCUUAUCCGUCGAGCAUCGCCACUUGUUACCAUCGGUAUUGAUUGCCUUGUCGAUAUAGGGUAAAACUUGAAAAUUUUGGUCCCUCACAUUACCCUCUGAGGUUUUAUGGAUUUUUAUUUUUUGGUUUUGAUUUAUUUAGGAUUCUGCUUGCUUUUGAU